AGAGUUUGAUCAUGGCUCAGAAUCAACGCUGGCGGCGUGCCUAACACAUGCAAGUCGAACGCGAAAGCCCCGCAAGGGGUAAGUAGAGUGGCAAACGGGUGAGUAACACGUGGGUGAUCUGCCUCAGAGUGGGGGAUAACGACCCGAAAGGGUCGCUAAUACCGCAUAACAUCCUGCCUUUGGAUAGGUGGAGAUCAAAGCCGGGGACCGCAAGGCCUGGCGCUUGGAGAGGAGCCCGCGGCCGAUUAGCUAGUUGGUAGGGUAACGGCCUACCAAGGCAACGAUCGGUAUCCGGCCUGAGAGGGCGGACGGACACACUGGGACUGAGACACGGCCCAGACUCCUACGGGAGGCAGCAGUGGGGAAUUGUUCGCAAUGGGCGCAAGCCUGACGACGCAACGCCGCGUGGAGGACGAAGAUUUUCGGAUCGUAAACUCCUUUCGAUCGGGAAGAACAGCUCUUGGGUUAACAGCCUGAGGGUCUGACGGUACCGAGAGAAGAGUCCGCCUGCCCC
rnacentral:rRNA from 1 species